rnacentral:tRNA from 1 species
GGCAGUGUAGCCAAGUGGUAAGGCAUAGGUCUGCAAAACCUAAUCCUUGGUUCAAAUCCAAGCACUGCCUCCA